AGUGAACGCUGGCGGUAGGCCUAACACAUGCAAGUCGAACGGCAGCACAGUAAGAGCUUGCUCUUACGGGUGGCGAGUGGCGGACGGGUGAGGAAUACAUCGGAAUCUACUUUUUCGUGGGGGAUAACGUAGGGAAACUUACGGUAAUACCGCAUACGACCUACGGGUGAAAGCAGGGGAUCUUCGGACCUUGCGCGAUUGAAUGAGCCGAUGUCGGAUUAGCUAGUUGGCGGGGUAAAGGCCCACCAAGGCGACGAUCCGUAGCUGGUCUGAGAGGAUGAUCAGCCCCACUGCAACUGAGACACGGUCCAGACUCCUACGGGAGGCAGCCGUGGGGAAUAUUGGACAAUGGGCGCAAGCCUGAUCCAGCCAUACCGCGUGGGUGAAGAAGGCCUUCGGGUUGUAAAGCCCUUUUGUUGGGAAAGAAAAGCAGCAGGUUAAUACCACGCUGUUCUGACGGUACCCAAAGAAUAAGCACCGGCUAACUUCGUG
rnacentral:rRNA from 1 species